GGCGGGGCUGUGGCGCGCGGGCGGGCCGGCUGGGCCGGAGCGCGGGGCUCGCGGGGGCUCGCGGAGGCCGGCUGCCCAGUGCUCCCCGAAGGACACCAGCCCGAUGGAGAGAGUCUGCAGGAAUGGCCGGAUGGCGGGCGUGAACUGUGAAGGGAUUCCUGUGUCACCACCCGCCCGAGAGUGGGGCAGAGGGAGGGGCAGGCGCACCCAUUCAGCUUUUACCAAGCUCCUGUGCUGUGGGCAUUGCCCUGGACCCUUUCACGGACCUGGUGUCCUCAGCGGAAGGAGAUGGUGAACAAAUAAAGGUCAAACUUGUGGGCCACGCCCAGCAGGUGGCCCAGCGUCGGCUCCAGCCCCACCGCCUGUUCCCGAACACCUGCAAAGACGUUGGACAGCCGCCGCGCGGUCUCUCCCGGGCCCUGGCUUGAAAAGAAGGC